rnacentral:rRNA from 1 species
GACGAACGCUGGCGGCGUGCUUAACACAUGCAAGUCGAACGGUGACCCAGGGCUUGCCCUGGUGAUCAGUGGCGAACGGUGAGUAACACGUGGGCAACCUGCCCCUGACUUCGGGAUAACUCCUCGAAAGAGGAACUAAUACCGGAUACGACCACUUCGGACAUCCGAUGGUGGUGGAAAGUUUUUCGGUCAGGGAUGGGCCCGCGGCCUAUCAGCUAGUUGGUGGGGUAAUGGCCUACCAAGGCGACGACGGGUAGCCGGCCUGAGAGGGCGACCGGCCACACUGGGACUGAGACACGGCCCAGACUCCUACGGGAGGCAGCAGUGGGAAUAUUGCGCAAUGGGCGAAAGCCUGACGCAGCGACGCCGCGUGAGGGAUGAAGGCCUUCGGUUGUAAACCUCUUUCAGCAGGACGAAGCGAAAGUGACGGUACCUGCAGAAGAAGCACCGGCUAACUAACGUGCCAGCAGCCGCGGUAA